CACUGAGAAGCUGAACCGGGUAUAAGCGUUAGCCUUUUAAGCUAAACAUUGGUGGCCCCCAACCACCCUCAGUGA
rnacentral:tRNA from 1 species